GACGAACGCUGGCGGCGUGCUUAACACAUGCAAGUCGAACGAAGUGGCGAACGGGUGAGUAACGCGUAAUCAACCUGCCCUUCAGAGGGGGACAACAGUUGGAAACGACUGCUAAUACCGCAUACUGAAGGAGGGGAUGGCGUCUGAUUAGCUAGUUGGGGGGGUAACGGCCCACCAAGGCGAAGAUCAGUAGCCGGGUUGAGGGGGUGGACGGCCACAAUGGGACUGGGACACGGCCCAGAAUCCUACGGGAGGGCGCAGUGGGGAAUCUUCCGAAAUGGACGAAAGUCUGACGGAGCAACGCCGCGGUGGUGAUGACGGCCUUCGGGUUGGAAAGCUCUGUUAAUCGGGACGCGGUACCGGAAGAGAAAGCCACGGCUAACUACGUGCCAGCAGCCGCGGUAAUUC
rnacentral:rRNA from 1 species